AAGCCGAGACUGCGAGGGAGAAAAGAGGGGGGCAGUGAGGUAGAGAGAGAGGAGCGAGAGAGAGAGAGAGAGAGGAGCGAGCGCCACGAAAACACACGAGACGAGAGAGAGCGGAGACGACAGAUGCGGACCACCGGCGAGAAAGUAUCCGAACAGAAAAAAGACCUACUUAACUCCAGCAUUCGAGCCUCUCUUACCUUGCUUCUUGCGCACUCUCAACUGCCAAACAACGAUUAAGGCUGGGCUGAACCACGGGGGCAGAUGAAAGGUGGCAACUGGCAACAGAUGUUCUCAUGUGGACUACUUCGCCGCGGUGCCCUUCUUCUGGAGACGUGGUCAGGAAAAGCUGAGUGUGGCCUAAUUGGACUCGCAUUUCCCAGCCUCUGCUGAGUCACGGAUCAGUCCUGACAACGGAAAAGUUCCCCCGGCAGACUGCGUGAGAAUCUCAGCGUAUGCGGCACAUGCGCCACUUCGACAAGGUUGUAUGCAGGAAGGGAGUUGACAGAUAAAACAUGAAGAUAUGGAGCAGUGAUGUUCGGCAUUGAACCAUCAACGGGCCCGAGGAGGGAGCUACCAAACACAAGAACAACACGAAACUGUGACAAUGAAUUUGAAAUGGAUUCCUGCUGAACCUGGGGAAACGUUUUAGAUGGAGAUCACCACACCCUUCAUGGCAACAUUUUAACAACUACUGCAGAUAAUAUUUGUGCCAGAUGAGGAUCCACUGAGGUUCAUACUGGGCGAAUGAAGUUCUGCCAGUUCCUUGGUAUUUUCAUUAUAAACUGAAGAAACAAGUGAAGAUAUUUGGAAGAACAAAUCACAAAUCAUGAACACGGCCGACUCUGCUCGGCUGGCACUGAUACACUGCGAAUGUUUGGCAGAACAGAUACUUCUGUUGGUAGAAGAAAGCACAUCUCUCACAGGGCAGGAAUUUAGUGGCACUGUGAUUUAUCAGAAACCGGAGGGCCUGGGUGGAGCUGGUUCCCUGAACCGGCUUUAUCUCCAUGUGGUCUCCAUUGCCUGUCCUGGGGCGUCAAAUCAAACAAAAGAGCGGCAACAACAGAAUUUUGUUUGGUUACCUCCAAGAAAAAAGAACCACAGGUGGAGAAAAAUGAAACCUUCUGGAGAUCAAAGGAGUAAAACCCUUCACUGCGUCUGGCCUCCACUAACACCACGUUCAUAACUAGUCUUGGUGUUUAGAACCAGUGCACAGGUACUUUGAAAGUAAAGUAAUGUUAGCAGAAGGACGGUAAUGUAUCGCAGCCACAGUGAAUUCAGGACAAGAUGACUUCGAGUUGGAGGAGUGAGUGAGAUCAGGACUGAGAAGCUGCUGAUUCACUGCUCGGGUUCUUUCUCUGGUUCUGGUUUGCACUGUUCCUGUUUGAUGCCAUGUUUUUCAUGCAUUCUUGUGGAAUGCUUUGCCCUCCAACACCUCUCCAAUCCUGUCAGGUGUGUUUGUGUUCUCUCACCCUCGACUGUGUUGGCUGUGGCUUGUUGACGCAAACUCCCUGCAUGUCAUCCUCCAUCUUUUCAUUUGCCGGUUGAUUUCUUGCAAAUGUAAGUGAGGGGUACUGACAAAAAACUAACUAGUCUUACUUUAUUAAUCGUCUUGGGGAGAUUCCAUGUUUCUGCAUUGACCUAUUCUGUUUCUAGGAUGCAGCAUGACGGCAAUCUGAGUCUUGCUCAGGGACCUACAGAGACGAGCUAGAUUCAAACCUGCAAACUCUAAAUUUCAAGUUUGCUUCUGUGACUUCCAGGCCACCACUGUUCCUGUCACAGUAUCGUAUCCAGACCCUCGCCUGUUACCUGACCAGUCUUGGACGGUCUCCAUGUAUCAGACGGACAGUUUUCCCAUGUGUAUCAAAUCCUGCUUCUCCUGUAUAAACAAAGA